rfam:Macrostomum lignano uti_cns_0047786, whole genome shotgun sequence.
GUCGGGUAUGGAGACGCAGUGCCGCGAACCCUGGUUGGCAAGCUGAUUGGUUCAGCGUGCGUUGUAGCCGGGGUCAUGACGGUGGCCCUGCCAGUUCCUGUCAUCGUCACGAAC